CGGCAGCCAGUCGGGGAUGACAUGGAGGUAGUUCCCUUCCGAAGUUAGGUAGGUGGCGGGCAGAGUGAAAGUAAGAGCAGUGCCUGCAGGCAGUGCUUCUGAGUCGAUGUUAUCGCCGCCUGGUGCGGGUGUUGCCCAGCCCAUGUAAGCUAGCUCGGCCGCGUUGAGGCAGGCGCUCCCACUGCCCAUGGUUGUCGUGUAGUCCUUGUACUCAAUGCCAUUCCUCCAAGAGUGCCAGAGACCUGGCGUUACAGGGGCGGCAAGCAAGCACAAGUGCAAAAGUACAGCGCGGGAAGACAUUGUCCGCUUUUAUAGCGUACGAUGAUGGCGGGGUACUGUGGUAGCUGGUACCUAGUACGGCACACAUAACGUUUACAAAUACGCGCUAAGCGCUCCACCGGCAUUUCGAGAGAGCUUUUCAUCAGCGGCCAGAUACUACAGGUACAACCUACAUAUACAUACAUACAUGCAUGUAUACCCGUAAGCACUUUCUAGACACGUGCAUGCGUUUGGAUGCUUGAAAUAGAGGAAUCUUUUUGUCCUGACGAAGUUUAUGUGUACCUGACGAUCCAGAUUCGGAUUCGUCCUGGUACGACGGCAUAUGUACGUGAAUAUAUAUUGCGUGGUUGGACUUUUGUGCAGUUUUGGGGUUUAUAAGGAGGAUAUACGGAUUUCCUAGACGCCCGCAAGCAAUACGGCAAUACACGGCAAAUCCCAAAGGUCACUACGCCAUUAGUGGGCCCGCCUUCCCUUCCAGCUUUUCGCGGUUCUUAUUUCGAUGGCGAAGCCGCGCCAGCUGCUGCCCGCUUCAGCCGGAGUCGUGGCCGGAUGUAAAAUUUCCAUCAUUUAAAGACCAUCGUCUAUGUUCAGGCCUAUCCAUUAUACGAUUGCACCGAGCGUACGUCUAUCGACCAUUCGAUACAAUGAAUCCAUAAAAGAGAUCUAUUUUUUUGGUCCCAUCUAUGUUACAGUGACCCUGUCUAAAGACGAUGAAACUGUUUUAUCGACGUGGCUGACGCCGUGCAACGAAGGAAGGACUGUCACCUGGUCCACUGUGAUAACUAUCAUUGUGCUAGGAAGGGAGGUGGAACCAUACUGCGAUUUCCCCUCAACGGAGGAUCUUGGCCAAAAAACCUCACCGU
rnacentral:lncRNA from 1 species